AGUUGACCAACAUCGUCAUAGCCCCUUUCUUCCAUUUCUUUUCUCAUUUCCUUUCCCAGCUCCAUUCUGUGAAUACGAGCGCAUCGCCACAAAAGAGGCAAAAAAGGACACGACUUGAGUUGUUUCGUGUACUCAGCCCCUCCCACCCCUCCUUGUGGCCCACCGCCUCUUCUUCCUCUCUGUGUCUUCGUAGCUGCCUUCUCUUCUUCCCCCUUUUUUGUUGGUUGUUUCCUCCUCCCCCUUUUUCUCAGCCCUCACCACAUCUCUUUCGUCCUUUUUGUUUCUGUGGCUUCCGGUGCGCUUUUCUCCCCAUCUGAAUUCGUUGUUGUACGUCGCCCCCGUCCCCUCUCCCCCUCCUGCACUACUGCCGUUUUUCCUGUAUGCGUGUGUGUGUCAUAGUGUCACACCCUUUCCCUCUUAGACAGCAAAACGCGAGCUUCCCCCCUUUGCUUUUCUUCGCGACGGAGAAACGCGUGCCAUUUUACAUCCCCUUCUCUCCCUCCAGCCCCGGGUUGCACUGGUCUCUCCCUGCAGGCGAGGUACCGGGCACCCAAGACGGAUAUAGUACCUCACACAUCGCAUAUCUUAUUAUCAAGCACCACCCCUCCCCACACCCCUACACACGCAGAGGCUCACAACUCGCCCUUCUUAUUCCCUCUUCUUGCCUCCGCUGCAUAAACGCGCUUUUCCCUCGUGUGUCUUUGGGAGAGUCAAGCAAGUGAGCAGCAGCAUACAGGAGAAGCACAUACAAAAAGCAGUAACGAUGUCGACAGCAGCAAUGAUUCACGAUUCUCUGCAAGCGGCGUCCACGCCAAUGAGCGAGGCUGCGCUGAAGCGCGAGAUUGCCUUGCAAGAGGCGUCUGAUGCGGUGGACAACAAGUCGCAGGUGCUCUCCAAGUCCCCGGCCGACACGAGGGAGGGAACGCACGAGGUGCUCACCGCCACGGAGCCGUUCGAACAUCCUAUCUCUCUGCGCACUAAGGUGUCGGCCUACGUCACUCUCGCACUGCUCUUCUUCUUCGCGCGCGUGCGUGAGAGCUAUCGCCAGUUCUUUCCGAAAGAUGAGAGCCACGUGCGCCCCGGCUACGCCCCCAUUGUGAAGGACUUCGACCACUACUGGAACCGCCGCUUUUACCGCCGCGUCCGCGACUGCUUCAUGCGCCCCAUCGACUCUCGCCCUUCGCGUGUGAUUGGACUGAUGGAGCGCGUGUCGAAGGACAACAACCAAACGUUCGAGUACAGCGGCCGCAUCGUGCCCGCGGUGAACAUGGGCUCGUACAACUACCUCGGCUUCGCCGAGGACACGCAGAGCAUCACGCACGAGGUACUAGAUUCGAUCGACGACUACGGCCUCGCCUCAUGCAGCGCGCCGCAGGAGUUGGGCCAGAGCGCCCUCGUGUCUUGCCUCGAGCGCGAGUUCGCCGAGUUCCUCGGAAAGGAGGAUGCCAUUGUGUGCGGCAUGGGCUUCGCCACGAACUUCCGCGGCCUCCCCACCCUCUUCGGCAAGGAGACGCUGGUGCUCUCUGACAGCCUCAACCACUCCUCGCUCGUCAACGGCGUGCGCUCGUCUGGCGCAAAGGUAAAGGUCUUCCAGCACGACCACUUUGGUCAGGUGGAGAAGUGCCUGCGCGAGGGCGUAGUGCUCGGCCAGGACCCAUGCGGCGAGUACAAGCCGUACAAGCGCAUCGUCAUCAUCAUUGAGGGCAUCUACAGCAUGGAGGGCGAGAUCGUCAAUCUCAAGAAGUUUGUGGAGCUGAAGAAGAAGUACAAGGCUCUGCUCUUCGUGGACGAGGCUCACUCCAUUGGCGCUAUUGGCCGCACUGGUCGCGGUGUGUGCGAGCACACCGGCGUCGACCCCGAGGACGUUGACGUGCUCAUGGGUACCUUCACGAAGAGCUUCGGCUCCAUCGGCGGCUACAUCGCAGCCGACAAGCCGCUCGUUCGCUACCUCCGCCAGCAUAGCUCCAUCGCCCUGCACUGCGACCCUCUGGCACCGCCUUGCGCGCAGCAGGUGCUGUCGGUGCUGCACGUGCUGCUCGGCAAGGACGGUACGGACCUCGGCGAGAAGCGCAUCCGUCAGCUCAAAGAUAACUCGACGUUUUUUCGUCGCGGACUGAUGGACCUGGGCCUCGUGGUGCUCGGCGAUGACAGCAGCCCGGUGGUGCCGGUGAUGUGCUACAGUAUUGGCAGGCUUAGCGCCCUCUCCCGCCUGUGCCUCGAGCGCGGUGUCGCUAUCGUCGUCGUCGGCUACCCGGCGACGCCGCUCCUGCAGGGCCGCGUGCGCUUUUGCGUCUCGGCCUGCCACACGCGCGAGGACCUGCAGCGCACCCUUGAUGUGAUAAGGGAACUCAAGGGCUACGUCUGCAUGGAAGACAGCACGAACCCGCUGCGGUAAGAAGCGGGCUGAGCGACAAACGAGGGCACACUGUUCAGCAUCGUACACGCACAAGUAGUCAUUAUCUGUGAUGGAGUGCUUCUCACUUUGUGUUCACGCGUGUGCGCGCGAAAGGAAGGGUACAGAUACGAUCCAACGACUCCCUCACCCGUUUCCGCGCCCGACUUUUGACCGGCACCCACGCGCCGACGUGGACCUUUCAGGCGUGAGAGCGCGCACAACGAAUGUCUUGCACGAGGGAGAGAGGAGGCGCGAAAAUGAAGAAGACAUGCCGAGUCACCGUGACUUCCACCCUCCCUCACUUGCAGAGAAGUACUUGAAAAGAGAGAAAGGAUGGGCUUUCGCUCAAGUGGGUGUUCUCUCGUGUGGUGAUACAUACACCAGUACGCAUACGCGUACAGGCAGACAUUGGUGCAGAUGCAUAGUGUGCAGGCGCUCGCAUGUGCAGAACCAAGAGUGUAUCAUAACCAGUGUAGUUCCUCCCUUCGCGCGCUCACACACACACACACAUGCUGCGCGUGCAUACAUGUUUCUGCGCUCAACUGCAGAGACGUCGCAUGCCACACAUCUAUUUCGCAUUUAAAGCCCACAAUAGAUGCAUAACAUUGCGAUUUUCUUCGCUUUUGUUCCCGUUUAGUUUUUACUCGCUGCGUGUGUGCGCACCGGUGCAGGUGCGCAUGCCGGCUCUCUGCCCCUUCCAUCUCUCCCCGCCGCGAGCAUGAGUGUGGAUGUGUUAGUUUUUAUGUAUGUGCUGUGCGUGUGUGUUUGUAAUCAAGCGUGAGGAACAGGGAAAGCAGAGGUGGAGAAAGCGAUUGCGAGCACUCGCUCGUGCGUGUUGCUUUUUAUCUCUCCCGCAUCUCUGCCCCGCGCUUCCCACUCUCGCAUCAUGGAUUUAUCAGCUCAUCAACGAGAGAAUCAAAUCGACAACAACGCUCGGACUUGACUCGGGGCAGCCGCAACAGCUGUGGUAACACCACCAAGGGCAUGCAUGUUUUAACCGCCCCUGGUACCGACACUCUCACGACUGUUGCCCCUUUCUCUCACAAACACAGCGCCUUCCCUCCACAUACUUUAGCACGCCCUCUUUUUUUUUUUUUUCGUUUCUUCCGCUCCCUUUCUUGUUCCGCUACUGGAUGUUGCAUGCGCUCCUUUUCUAUGUGCGCCCUUGUGUGUGUUGUCUUCUGUAUUUUACGUAUGUAUCGGCGUGUGUGGCGACGGGUGGACGUGCACAUGUGCGUGCGUGAGUAUGUGUCUCUCCUUCAUCUAUGGAACGAUUUCAACCAUCCCCCUCCCCCGAAAAACAAAGGGCGCACUGCUAACCACCCUUGCUGCUUGCCCGCUUCCCUAACCCCUUUCACUUCUUUGGUGCGUCAGUGCCGUAAAAGAACGAGAGCUGGCGAGAGAAAAAGUGUGGGAGAGGGCGAAGGACCCCCCCCUCCACCCCCACACACACACUCGCACAAAUUUCGACGUGUGGUCGACAUUAAAAUACGCACGAGUACCGUCGUCGCUCUCCGGCGUGUUGACGUUGUCCUUUAGGUGUUGUCGUUCUCACGUCGCUAACAAAGCGGUGCAGAAUGUGCGAGGAGAAACCGCCGCGACUGUAUAUUUCUUUUCUUCCUGUAAGGAGGCACACAAAAGAGUGCGUAAAAACGGCAUGAGAAUUCGAGCGCGUGUGCGAUGGUUCGAUGUGCCUUGUCAAUUUGCACAUGCACACACACAUACACACACACACACAAAACGCGGCCGUGUCCACCCCCC
rnacentral:misc_RNA from 1 species